AUGGAGCUCAACGUUCAGCUUCGUGCCUCUGAUGGUGACCCUCUCCCUAACCCCACUCGCUAUCGUCACCUUGUUGGCAGUCAUGUCUAUCUUGCUGUUACGCGUCCUGAUAUCUCCUAUCAUGUCCAUAUCCUGAGUCAGUUCGUUUCAGCCCCCACCUCUGUCCACUAUAGUCAUCUCCUCCGUGUUCUACGAUAUCUUCGUGGCACGCUCUCUCAGCGCCUUUUCUUUCCCCGCUCCAGCUCUCUUGAGCUCCAGGCCUACUCUGAUGCUACCUGGGCUAGUGAUCCCUCUGAUCGCCGCUCGUUGUCUGCUUACUGUGUCUUUCUUGGUGGCUCUCUUAUUGCGUGGAAGACAAAGAAACAGACUGCAGUUUCUCGCUCGAGUACAGAGGCUGAGUUGCGAGCCAUGGUUAUGCUGACGGCUGAGGUGAUCUGGUUACGGUGGUUACUUGAGGAUUUUGGUGUGUCUGCUACUACC
rnacentral:rRNA from 1 species